rnacentral:ncRNA from 1 species
AUGCGCUUGCUGCUUCGCCGCCACGGCGGCCGGGCCAACGCGCUUGAUGAUCUGGUCACGCCGCUGGCCCACAAGGCCACCGAUAUGCGCACUAGAGGAAACCAACGGCUCAGGCCGGGCGGGUCCCGCGCAGUUUUCCCGCUGAUCCGGCAAUCCUUCGGCGGGGCGACGUGGAUAGCGUGAUAUCUCG